GGUGAACGCUGGCGGCGUGCUUAAGACAUGCAAGUCGAACGGCAGUCUUCGGACUGUAGUGGCGCACGGGUGAGUAACGCGUAACUGACCUACCCCAAAGUCGCGGAUAACGAUUCGAAAGAAUCGCUAAUACGUGAUGUGCUGUCAGAUUGUGUUCUGCCAGUAAAGAUUGAUGCUUUGGGAUGGGGUUGCGUUCCAUCAGCUAGUUGGUGGGGUAAAGGCCCACCAAGGCGACGACGGAUAGCCGGCCUGAGAGGGUGGCCGGCCACAGGGGAACGGAGACACGGGCCCCACUCCUACGGGAGGCAGCAGUUAGGAAUCUUCCACAAUGGGCGAAAGCCUGAUGGAGCGACGCCGCGUGAGGGAUGAAGGUCUUCGGAUCGUAAACCUCUGAAUCAGGGACGAGAGACACUUCGGUGGGAUGACGGUACCUGAGUAAUAGCACCGGCUAACUCCGUGCCAGCCGCCGCCGUAACAC
rnacentral:rRNA from 1 species